rnacentral:rRNA from 1 species
CAGUCGCCCGGUAAAACAGAGGGUGCGAGCGUUAAUCGGAUUUACUGGGCGUAAAGCGUGCGUAGGCGGCUUUUUAAGUCGGAUGUGAAAUCCCUGAGCUUAACUUAGGAAUUGCAUUCGAUACUGGGAAGCUAGAGUAUGGGAGAGGAUGGUAGAAUUCCAGGUGUAGCGGUGAAAUGCGUAGAGAUCUGGAGGAAUACCGAUGGCGAAGGCAGCCAUCUGGCCUAAUACUGACGCUGAGGUACGAAAGCAUGGGGAGCAAACAGGAUUAGAUACCCCGGUAGUCCCUGUCUCUUAUACA